GCACCCACAAGAGAGCAAAGAAGCAUGAAGAGAUGGCAUUUGUUCUCCGGAAUAUGAGGGCAGCUGGAGGUGGAGAAAAGAAGUAAACUGCUGCACCUGGAUUUCUUAGGAAGGUUUCACGGUUUACAUCAAAUCAGAGAAAAGAUUUGAGUUGUUUAGCCCCUAUAUAAAGUUAAACUGAAGAUUGUAAUUUUGAUUUGAACGUUUGCAGAAGUUUGUUGAUGAGACUUGUUUUCUAUUGAAGACUUAAUCCAUUACACUGGAACUCCAGAAGCUUGAAAAAUGCUGCCCGGUCCAUUUUUCCUUCACCCCAGUGACCCCACUCCUCUCUCCCCAGAAAACAACUAAACUUCACUUUUUUUAUUUUAUUUUUAUUUUUUAUUUUUAUUUUGUAAAGCUAUGAUAUCUGAAAACCAUAUGGUACAUUUGUUUAAAAUCCAUUCAUUACCCAAUGACGGGAAACAAUAAAAGCAUUUCUACAUGCUUAAUUGAAAUUUCA